rnacentral:rRNA from 1 species
AUUGAACGCUGGCGGCAUGCCUUACACAUGCAAGUCGAACGGCAGCACGGGUGCUUGCACCUGGUGGCGAGUGGCGAACGGGUGAGUAAUACAUCGGAACAUGUCCUGUAGUGGGGGAUAGCCCGGCGAAAGCCGGAUUAAUACCGCAUACGAUCUACGGAUGAAAGCGGGGGACCUUCGGGCCUCGCGCUAUAGGGUUGGCCGAUGGCUGAUUAGCUAGUUGGUGGGGUAAAGGCCUACCAAGGCGACGACCAGUAGCUGGUCUGAGAGGACGACCAGCCACACUGGGACUGAGACACGGCCGAGACUCCUACGGGGGGCAGCGGUGGGGAAUUUUGGACGAUGGGCGAAAGCCUGAUCCAGCAAUGCCGCGUGUGUGAAGAAGGCCUUCGGGUUGUAGAGCACUUUUGUCCGGAAAGAAAUCCUUGGCCCUAAUACGGUCGGGGGAUGACGGUACCGGAAGAAUAAGCACCGGCUAACUACGUG